AGCAGUGGGACGAGGCGAGGAGGUGUCCAAACUGCUGAUGGGGUUUGUUUGUUUUUCCCCCUGGAGGGCGAAGAGGAGCGGAGUGAAUGGCCCCAUCCCCCUGAGGGAGGAGGUGUAGUAGGAAGGAGCGGCCCGCCCGCGCCCUUUGGGAAACAAGCGGUCGGGGAAGGAGAGCGGUUUGUGCAACAGCAAUCCAGAAGACACAGUAAUAUGCCUGUGGAUAAACAUUUUUGUUGUCCUUCAAGCAAAGCAGCCUUCAAAUGGGGAGUGACAGGUGUUUCAAAUUUGGUGCAGUUCAGUGUCACUGCCACCGUUUGAUGACGUCAUCGUUUCUCUGACCGCUCCACAGCAGCUGCGGUGCAGUUAACAUUGCCACCACCAUCUGAUGACAUCAUCGUUUCUCUGGCCACUCCACAGCAGCUGCGGUCUAAAGCCUGAUAUCCAGUUCAUUUCAUAUUAUCUCUCUGCCUCUCUCAAGCACAGUGGGAUGAGUGGACACACAAAGCCUAAGCAAGAAAGUAGCUGAGGUGUAGUAAGCACCACUUAUAUCCUAACUUGGAAUAAUUUAUUCACCUGUAUGUAUCCUCUGAUUCUUUAUCUUUUAAAAUUAAGAUAAUACUCAUUAUUUCACAGCAUUAUUGUGAGUCUUUGCUAAUAUAUGACCAGAUCAAGACAUGCAGGCACGUGUGGUUUGUUGUGCUACAAACCUCUUAUGCUCUUUGCAGCACCAUAAGCCGCAUGUGUUGCAUGUUAAACUAUGUGCAGCACUGCUAAUUUGCAGUGCUGGAGCAGAAUUUGCUAUUGGGAUUUCCUGGGAGC